CCCUAGUAACGGCGAGUGAAGCGGGAAAAGCUCAAAUUUGUAAUCUGGCGGUCUACGGCCGUCCGAGUUGUAAUCUGGAGAAGCGUUUUCGGUGCCGGCCCGCGUACAAGUCCCCUGGAACGGGGCGUCGCAGAGGGUGAGAAUCCCGUCUUUGAUGCGGUCUCGCCGGUGCCAUGCGAAGCGCUCUCGAAGAGUCGAGUUGUUUGGGAAUGCAGCUCAAAACGGGUGGUAAAUUCCAUCUAAAGCUAAAUACGGGCGAAAGACCGAUAGCGAACAAGUACCGUGAGGGAAAGAUGAAAAGCACUUUGGAAAGAGAGUCAAACAGUACGUGAAAUUGUUGAAAGGGAAACGCUUGAAGUCAGUCGCGUCUCCCGGGACUCAGCGGGGUCACUCCCGCGCACUUCCCGGGGUUUAUGACGGGCCAGCGUCGAUUUCGACCGUCGUAGAAAGGCGAGAGGAAAGUGGCGGUCCUUCGGGGCCGUGUUAUAGCCUCGCGUCGUAUGCGAACGGUCCGGGAUCGAGGGAUGCAGCGCGCCUUCCUUUUCGGAGGAGGGCCGGGGUUCGCCCACGUAACGCGCUUGGGACGCUGGCGUAAUGGCUUUAAGCGACCCGUCUUGAAACACGGACCAAGGAGUCUAACAUGCU
rnacentral:rRNA from 1 species